GUGAAUCAUCGAAUUUUUGAACGCAAAUUGCGCUUCCUGGCAUUCCGGGAAGUAUGCCUGUUUGAGUGUCAGUAUUAACAACAAAUCGUUUUGGUUGCAAAUUGUGACGUUUCCGGAGUUUGGGCUAUCUUAAAUUUAUUUGUUAAGGGGCUUAAAAUUGACUUUAUUUGCGCAUUUUUAGACGUACAUAAAUUUUUAUUUUAUGCGUCUUUUCUUAAUGCCAAAAUCUUAUUAGAUUCGAUUACAUCAGUUGGUUUCGUGUCCAUAAAAUUUUC
rnacentral:misc_RNA from 1 species